GAGGGUAUAGCUCAGUGGUAGAGUGCGUGCUUAGCAUUUACAAGGUCCUGAGUUCAAUCCCCAGUACCUUCU
rnacentral:tRNA from 1 species